rnacentral:rRNA from 1 species
UACGGAGGGGCCAAGCGUUGUUCGGAUUUACUGGGCGUAAAGGGCGCGUAGGCGGCUUAACAAGUCACUUGUGAAAUCUCCGGGCUUAACUCGGAACGGCCAAGUGAAACUGUCAAGCUAGAGUGCAGAAGGGGCAAUCGGAAUUCUUGGUGUAGCGGUGAAAUGCGUAGAUAUCAAGAGGAACACCUGAGGUGAAGACGGGUUGCUGGGCUGACACUGACGCUGAGGCGCGAAAGCCAGGGGAGCAAACGGG